rnacentral:rRNA from 1 species
GUGGGGAAUAUUGGACAAUGGACCAAAAGUCUGAUCCAGCAAUUCUGUGUGCACGAUGACGUUUUUCGGAAUGUAAAGUGCUUUCAGUUGGGAAGAAAAAAAUGACGGUACCAACAGAAGAAGUGACGGCUAAAUACGUGCCAGCAGCCGCGGUAAUACGUAUGUCACAAGCGUUAUCCGGAUUUAUUGGGCGUAAAGCGCGUCUAGGUGGUUAUGUAAGUCUGAUGUGAAAAUGCAGGGCUCAACUCUGUAUUGCGUUGGAAACUGCAUGACUAGAGUACUGGAGAGGUAAGCGGAACUACAAGUGUAGAGGUGAAAUUCGUAGAUAUUUGUAGGAAUGCCGAUGGGGAAGCCAGCUUACUGGACAGAUACUGACGCUAAAGCGCGAAAGCGUGGGUAGCAAACAGGAUUAGAUACCCUGGUAGUCC